UCAAUUAUUUAUAGCCUCUGGCUAUAGGAAAUUGUUAGUGGCAGACGGGUGAGUAAUGCGUAGGAAUCUACCUAGUAGUACGGAAUAGCCAUUAGAAAUGGUGGGUAAUACUGUAUAAUCCCCGAGGGGGAAAGAUUUAUCGCUAUUAGAUGAGCCUACGUUAGAUUAGCUAGUUGGUGAGGUAAUGGCUUACCAAGGCUAUGAUCUAUAGCUGGUCUGAGAGGACGAUCAGCCACACUGGAACUGAGAUACGGUCCAGACUCCUACGGGAGGCAGCAGUGGGGAAUAUUGGACAAUGGGCGAAAGCCUGAUCCAGCUAUGCCGCGUGAGUGAAGAAGGCCUUCGGGUUGUAAAACUCUUUCAAUAGGGAAGAUAAUGCCGG
rnacentral:rRNA from 1 species